rnacentral:lncRNA from 1 species
CCGGAUGCCCUCCGUAACAUUCCAUACAACACGCGUUCACCGUCACCGGAGGGUAAGCAGUAACCGGAGGCUGAGUAGGCUGAGAAGGCUUCGGCUUCUCUGCGUCCUUGGGUUUCUCUUUAGGUUUUUCAGCCUCUUUAGGUUUCUCAGCCUCCUUUGGUUUCUCAGCCUCUUUUGGUUUCUCUUUAGGCUUUUCAGCCUCUUUAGGUUUCUCAGCCUCCUUUGGUUUCUCUUUAGGCUUCUCAGCCUCCUUUGGUUUCUCUUUAGGCUUCUCAGGCUCCUUGGGCUUGGGCUUCUCGGGCGGCAAGAUGUCGAUGCUCUUGAUGGCGCCACCUCCUUUGCAGCAUAGCUUGUCUCUGAUCUUCUCAGGACUGCAGCAGACCACCUUGAUGAUCACCUGGUUGUUCUUCUC